ACGGAGGGUGCAAGCGUUGUUCGGAUUCACUGGGUAUAAAGGGUGCGUAGGCGGCGCGAUAAGUCAGGGGUGAAAUAUGUCGGCUCAACCGCCAAACUGCCUCUGAAACUGCCGCGCUUGAGUUCGGGAGAGGAAGGUGGAAUUCCAGGUGUAGCGGUGAAAUGCGUAAAUAUCACAAAGAACACCAAUGGCGAAGGCAGCCUUCUGGCCCGAUUCUGACGCUGAGGCACGAAAGCGUGGGGAUCAAACAG
rnacentral:rRNA from 1 species